rnacentral:rRNA from 1 species
UACGGAGGGUGCAAGCGUUAAUCGGAUUUACUGGGCGUAAAGCGUCCGUAGGUGGUUUGUCAAGUUGGAUGUGAAAGCCCAGGGCUCAACCUUGGAAUUGCAUCCAAAACUGGCUAACUAGAGUAUGUGAGAGGGAGGUAGAAUUUCUGGUGUAGCGGUGAAAUGCGUAGAGAUCAGAAAGAAUACCGAUGGCGAAGGCAACCUCCUGGCACAAUACUGACACUGAGGGACGAAAGCGUGGGGAGCAAACAGG